rnacentral:rRNA from 1 species
AUUGAACGCUGGCGGCAUGCUUUACACAUGCAAGUCGAACGGCAGCGCGGGCCUCGGCCUGGCGGCGAGUGGCGAACGGGUGAGUAAUACAUCGGAACGUGCCCAGUAGUGGGGGAUAGCUCGGCGAAAGCCGGAUUAAUACCGCAUACGACCUGAGGGUGAAAGCGGGGGAUCUUCGGACCUCGCGCUAUUGGAGCGGCCGAUGGCAGAUUAGCUAGUUGGUGGGGUAAAGGCCUACCAAGGCGACGAUCUGUAGCUGGUCUGAGAGGACGACCAGCCACACUGGGACUGAGACACGGCCCAGACUCCUACGGGAGGCAGCAGUGGGGAAUUUUGGACAAUGGGCGAAAGCCUGAUCCAGCAAUGCCGCGUGUGUGAUGAAGGCCUUCGGGUUGUAAAGCACUUUUGGCGGGAACGAAAAGGACUGUGCCAAUACCACGGUUCGAUGACGGUACCCGCAGAAUAAGCACCGGCUAACUACGUG